GAUGAACGCUGACAGAAUGCUUAACACAUGCAAGUCCACUUGAAUUUGGGUUUUUUCACUUCGAUUUGGGUGGCGGACGGGUGAGUAACGCGUAAAGAACUUGCCUCACAGCUAGGGACAACAUUUGGAAACGAAUGCUAAUACCUGAUAUUAUGAUUAUAAGGCAUCUUAGAAUUAUGAAAGCUAUAUGCGCUGUGAGAGAGCUUUGCGUCCCAUUAGCUAGUUGGAGAGGUAACGGCUCACCAAGGCGAUGAUGGGUAGCCGGCCUGAGAGGGUGAACGGCCACAAGGGGACUGAGACACGGCCCGUACGCCUACGGGAGGCAGCAGUGGGGAAUAUUGGACAAUGGACCAAGAGUCUGAUCCAGCAAUUCUGUGUGCACGAUGACGUUUUUCGGAAUGUAAAGUGGUUUCAGUUGGGAAGAAAAAAAUGACGGUACCAACAGAAGAAGUGACGGCUAAAUACGUG
rnacentral:rRNA from 1 species